GAUGUGCCUCCGGGUCCCCCACUCCCCUUAAGUGCACAGGGUCACCUCAGGAUCCUGUGGAGACUUUGUAUUUCUAGUUUCCCAGCUCUGACUCAAUUCUCUGCCUCACCUGUCCUCCUAGGACUGCUCUCUCCCUUCUGUGCCCCUCCCCCGCCCCCAGGGGCUUGUCACCACACCUCAUGCCUGCAUUCCAGGAACUGAGAGCCCCAGCUUGGCCUCACAGGUGUUGUGUAGUAAAUGUUAAGCUGUUUGCUGAAGGAUUGGGGUAAAAAGGGAGAUUAUGCUACAACCCAAAUGGGCAUACAACGUAUAACUGAAUAGUAGAAAUCAUGGAACCUAAAAGUAACUGUUUUUGUAAAUAAGGUCUUACUGGAACGCAGCCUCCCUCACCUACUGUUGGCCUAUUUACAGCUACAACAGCAAAGCUGAGGAGAAACCACAGAGCCCCAGAAACUGUGUGUGUCUUUACAAAACUUAAUUUAAAAACUGUUUCACAAUGCUUUAAGUAGUAUUUAAUUCCUCUUCAUUCCUGCCAGGUUACUGACCUACUAAACACUUUACCAGCUUUCUUCCAAUUUGAGGUACAUUCAUCAGGCUCAGACUCUACUUACCCAAGGAGCUCUCCCCAAAGUGCCCCAGUCCAAAGUGAUGUCAAUCUUUAAAACUCCCUGCACUUGCUGUCUGUAACAUUUUUAAAAUAAACUAUUUCCUUUUAAGAAUAAUAAGUGCCCAUUAAGGAAAAUAUAGAAAAUAAAGAAAAAUAUUAAAAAAUAUAAAAAUGACCUGAAAUAGCCUCCACCCACUGGGUGGUAUGCUUACGCUUGUUUGCCUACAUUUACAUGUUGCAGGGCUAUCCACUGAAAUUGUACUUACUUUAUAAUAUUGAAUUUUGAUUUUGUUUUUACCAAAUGACAACCAUUUCCUUUAUCAGAAAACCUAUAUUGCAUAGUAUUCAACACCAUAUUUCUUGUUUUUGCCUAUUAACACUCUUCUAUUCACUUGGUUAUUCCUACAUUCUACAAACAUGGAUUAGUCACCUUUUUUUUUCAGUUUUUUUUGUUUGUUUGUUUGUUUUUUUAAAUUUCAGAGAGAGAGAGCACAAGUCAGGGGAAAAGGAGAAAGAGUAAUUCAUCCCCACUGAGCAAGGAGCCCGGUGUGAGCUUGUACCAGGACUUUGAAAUUAUGACCUGAACUGUGGUCAGAUGCUUAACUGACUGAACCACCCAGGCACUCCUGGAUUAGUCAAUUAUGACAUGCACCACACUUUGUAUUUAUGGACCGCAGUUUUGGCCAUAAUGUUCUCCAGGAGCAGGGCUGAUCAUCUGUGGCAACAUAUGGUAGACAAGGAAUGACUAAAAAUCUGCACCCUGCGCCCAAGCCAGGUGCAAGGGCCAAGAGGGUGACACGGGUAAAGAGGCAGACUCCAAAGACACAGCUGCACGCUAAAGGACAUGAGAAUGUUCAAAGAUGACACAGGUAACAAAUGAUGUUGGGCAAUCUUGUGAGGUGGAGAGAGAAACACUGAGGGAUCAGGUGGCAGUAAUAAUAGGGGGUGUCAGGUGAGCGGCUGGGCCUCCGCAGGGAUCUGUCCCCUGGUGGGAGGACAGUUAUCCUGGCCUUAAGCAUGGCCAGGGAAGUGUUUGGACAUCUUGGACUAUAUGGUAUCUUCUGCAAAUCGUGACUGCCGUAGGGGCAGGACAUGCUCUCGGAGGCAGAGCCUCGUCCAAACUACCAGCUCCUGUUCACUCUCCAUGCCAUGGCCUGGCUCAGAGAAAAGAGAGUCAGAAAUAUUCUGUGUGUUAUGAGGGACCUCUAUGUUUCUGGAACAAGGCUCUUUCUAUUUAGUUGCUCAAUUGUGAGAACACUUUUCCUUUGGCAAAAAAAAAAA